UCAUAGACGGCUGUUGAAGUGGCAAGUUGUAGCCUUGUUUAUGGAAAAAUUUUCCUCUGUGAA
rnacentral:tRNA from 1 species